AAUGGGGGAAACCCUGAUCACAGCGACGCCGCGUGUGUGAAGAAGGCCUGCGGGUUGUAAAGCACUUUUAGUGGGGAUGAAAAGCUCAGGGCUAAUACCUCUGGGUCUUGACCUAACCCAAAGAAAAAGCACCGGCUAACUCUGUGCCAGCAGCCGCGGUAAUACAGAGGGUGCGAGCGUUAAUCGGAAUUACUGGGCGUAAAGCGUGCGUAGACGGUUAUGUAAGUCGGGUGUGAAAGCCCCGGGCUCAACCUGGGAAUUGCAUUCGAGACUGGAUAGCUAGGGUGCGGAAGAGGGAAGCGGAAUUUCAGGUGUAGCGGUGAAAUGCGUAGAUAUCUGAAGGAACACCAGUGGCGAAAGCGGCUUCCUGGUCCAGCACCGACGUUCAGGCACGAAAGCGUGGGGAGCAAACAGGAUUAGAUACCCUGGUAGUCCACGCCAUAAACGAUGAGAACUAGACGUUGAGAGGGUAAGCCUCCCAGUGUCGUAGCUAACGCGCUAAGUUCUCCGCCUGGGGAGUACGG
rnacentral:rRNA from 1 species